rfam:Myotis lucifugus cont2.23561, whole genome shotgun sequence.
UAGCCAUCAGAGCCAGUGUGUUUCUAUGGUUU